rnacentral:piRNA from 1 species
UAGCUUCUGCCAGCUAUGAUGACACAGUGUU